UUAGUCGUGUGUACAUCAUUGGGAAUGGAGGGAAAUAAAUGACUGGAUGGUCGCUGCUUUUUAAGUUUCAAAUUGACAUUCCAGACAAGCGGUGCCUGAGCCCGUGCCUGUCUUCAGAUCUUCACAGCACAGUUCCUGGGAAGGUGGAGCCACCAGCCUCUCCCUGACAAGCAAAGUGGAUCAGCAAAGGCUGCAGUCACCAGCAUCUUUUCCAACCUUAAUGAACUGUAUCCUCAAAAGAACACUAUCAGACUGGCUCUGCCGACUUCCAGUUCUGGAACAAGAUGGUUAAACUCAUUUUUCCCUGCUCUGCUCCUCUAAAUACAACUAAGUACCUUGGAAACUAUUCAGCAGACAAUGAUAAAGGGCUCUGAAAGCUAGAAGAAAAGGUGUACUUGCAAGAAACCUCAGGACUUGAGUAACAGCAACAUGGUACAAAUGACCUCCCAUCAGAAUAGCCCCAAUCUGAGUUCUGCAGAGGCUGAGAGCCAACUCAAGGGCAUGGAGUUUCUGAAGCCAGAAGGGACCUUGAUAAACAAGAAAGCCUGAGGCCCAAGGAAGUUAAAGUGAUGUGCUGAAGAUAACCCAGCCAAAAGGGGGCGCAGCCUGGAUCCACACACUUCAUGGUGCUCUACCCACUACACCAUAAAAGGAGAGUCCAAACAUGGUAAAGAUGAAUGGCAGACUGGCAGCCAGUGCUGUCUCCAUGACAGCACUGUCAUGGAGAUUUACAUUGACAUUGACAUUGACAUUGACAUUGUCAUGGAGAUUUACAUUGACAUUGACAUUGACAUUGUCAUGGAGAUUUACACUGUCAUUUACAACCUGGCAUGCUUUAGAUGGUAAAGUAAUAAAGCAGAAUUGAUGUGUC
ensembl:lncRNA MIR4435-2HG MIR4435-2 host gene